GCAGACUGGUCAAAGCUGUUUCUCUCACAGACUCCAGUGAACACCUGUUGACACGUGUAACCUCCCCAGCCUGACUGUUGGUGAAUAUACUCAGGCUAAAGUGAUUUUAUGCCACCAUACAAAACUUUCAUUGUCAGAGAAUCUUGAUGUCCUAGCAGUGCACGGAGGAGUAUAAAUGAAGACUGUUCAAGAAUAUGUAAGAAGUACUUUGAGAGAAAAGAAAAUGAGGAAAGGCCAACAGGAAUGUUUUAAUGGUGUUAUUAAUGCUGUCUAUGUCCAAGACAUGGUGGUACAGAAUCUGUUAGAAUUGGUUUUAGAGGGGUUAAAAUAUGUGUUUGGGACUUUUUAUAUAUUUUUUUCUACAUUUUUAUUUGACUCUUUGGUCUGUCUGCUGUUUACACAUGAAAAUCUCAUCUAUUUUUUAAUUUAAAAAAAUAUGCUGCUCCAUUAUGUAUUUAGUCUACCAAAUAUAUCAUUAUGAAACACUUCUAUCUGGGUUAGAUUCAAGUGUGUGGCAGACUAUGGGCUGUUGCUAUGGCUUCGGUCUUUACAUAAAACUUACACUACUUUGCAUUGUAGUCUUCAAAAAAUAAUCCUUUCCCACAAUAAACAACUGGAUUACUGUCAGAGACUUGUGAUUGGGUUAUUUAUUUCUCCUUCAUAAAGAAAACUAGAUUUGUCAUUUUAAAAGA